UUCGGGCGAGGAAAAAAGACAGAGAAUUGGAUUUUUUUUCUUCAUAGGAUUUUGGGAAGACUGAGGCAAUCGUUGCUGAAGUCAGUGUUGUAAUGGUGAAUCGGGAUUUUUAAUGACGUGGGUUUGAUUUUUCUUGACUGUUUUGUGAAAUCGAGUUACGUCUGUGAUGAAGAAUUUAUAGGGUGUCUAUAGGAUUGAGUAUGCGGAGUGAAUGAAAUUUAUUGGAUUAAUCUAACGAGACAGUCAGUAGAUACAAGAUCGUGAGUAUAAAGUGAUAUCGGAGAUUA
rnacentral:lncRNA from 1 species